GAUCUGGUUGAUUCUGCCAGUAGUCAUAUG
rnacentral:rRNA from 1 species